GCACCAAUGGUGAUUCAGUGGUAGAGUGCUCGUCUGCCAGGUGGGCGACCCGAGUUCGAUUCCCGGCCAAUGCA